GGCUCGGUAGCUUAGUUGGUAAAGCACUUGUCUAGCGAAUAAGGGUAGUGGGUUCAAAUCUCACCUGAGCUG
rnacentral:tRNA from 1 species